rnacentral:lncRNA from 1 species
CGCACACAAGAGCGAUGUUGCACAAAAACGUCGAAGUCUCUUCGAUCCUAAGAGUCGCGUUCUUCUUCUUGCCAUGGUUGAAGCUGUUACCGGUGAUGGGAUUGCACAUCACCGUUUUAUUUUAUUUUAUUCGGAAUGCUUGCUGAUUCAGGAAAAGACACAAUCGGUCAAUGAAUCAGUGAUGCUAAUCAUAAAUAGACAGUAAAUUGGCUUUCUCCCGAUGGAUUUCUUGAAUGCAUGCGUCAAUGCAUGCUCGUCUUUCGCAUGGAUGGUGUGCUAGAGCAGGCCGAUGGCCAGGAGCAGGCUGCGUGCCGAUUGUGAAUCGGGACAUGGUAGAGGCCUAGAGGUCCACGCCUGGUUUUCUUGUCUGCCUCGGUUAUCACGAGGGCGAGUGCGCCGCGUUGAAGGCUGCAUCGCCGCGGUGGUUCGUGCCGAGGAUGCUGCGGUGCGACGAAGAUCGAAGCUUUGGGCCGCUGUUGCGCUGUCGUCGGGUGUGGAAGUCUGGCGUCGCUACCUCCGUUGCAAGAGAUAAUUCUCAUAUGGUCUUCUCUGUUUUAGCCUAUAUCUCUAAUGGAGAGCAAAGUGCAUGAUAACGUGUUUGAAGUAAAAAGUAAAGAACGAGAGAGAUGAAUGAAAGAUGAUUCAUUAGUCUUUAUUGGCGUGUUUGAAGUAAAAAGUAAAGAACGAGAGAGAUGAAUGAAAGAUGAUUCAUUAGUCUUUA